AGAAAGUGCAAGUAACUUACUAAGACUUUGGUAUGCAGAAUUUGAGCAGUACUUAUAGUAAAUGACCUCUUCCUAUGAACUACUAAAUGAUUUUUGCCUUCCAUAAAGCAAAAGUCCUUAAUCCACUUGAUUGUGGAUUUGGUAUUUGAAUCUCUCUAGCAAACACUUCAAAACAGGACCUUAGUAUUCUAUAUAACAUUUUGUUCUCAAGUAUAUGCAAAUAUAACUUCUUGUAGUUAUCUUUAUGAGUGAAUGUAAACUGAAUAGUAAUAGUUAGGUGUUGCACUGUUUUUAAAGAAACCAACUUAAAUCUAAACCACAGAAAGAGGGCUAUUAGUGCCAUUGUAUCACCCUAGAUACGCUAAAGAAAAAGCAAGGCCAAAGUUGGUAAGAACCAUUUCACUGACUAGAUCAAGAGCAGAUUUUAAACCACUGCUCUGUGGUUGCAAAUCCCCUAUUUACUUGAUGUAGAAAUAAGAAGGUCAAACACAAAAAUAUCAAUAGAAAAUUACUAAACAAUAAGACUAAAACCAAGGAAAACUAAGUAGUUAAAGAAAUAAUGUUUCCAUACAGAAUUUCCAUAAAUGUUAGGGUUUCAGAAGUCCUAGCUGUGAACUAGUAUAACUGUUAUUUCUAGUACUGAUGUUAUUUUCUCCAAUAUAACUUGUAAUUUAUGUACUUUUCUACUCAAGAAAGAAAAGCAAUGGAAAAGAAAUUGCAUGUAUGAGUCUGAAAGUAAGUCCUGCAGCAUGCUUUUCAGUUGUGUGCAGCAAGGAAGGAAAACACAACAUAACUACAUGAAUGAAACAAAGAAAGUUAUCCACACUGAUGGAACUGGAAGGACUAAUGAGUUAGCUGUCAUCUGCACUACAUCAGCCCAAAAACCUGUCUAGUCUGGUAGCAAAAUACCAAAAGCCUUGAAAAACGUCAAUUGGUAUGGCAGGAACCCAGUAAUAUGACCUCCCUGUAAUGUCACAGAUUUACCAAGCAAAAGCUUCAGUUUCUUCUUUGAAGACAUCUUGCCCCUCCCAGAGUUUGGAGAAGGAAGCUGAAAUGUGAGAGGUGGCUCGUUCUGGGGCACGCAUGCAUGACUCCAAAUAGAAUUUGUGUCUGCUCUUUGGAUUGUAAACUGGGCCACGCUAAUUGCUGUAAUCUCAGCCUCUUCAGACAGCAGGAAGCAUGUUCGUUUACAAGCAUAUGCUACAUCUCACAUCGUACUCUUCCGGAUAAUGCCAGUCACAGAUUAAAGAUGUAUAGCAUCUUUGAAUAAGCAAUUAAAGAACUUUACAAGGAUUG